GACAAACCCCGGAAGUUUUGCCGGCAAAGAACUCCAAGGACGGAGUUGGGCCGGCGGACACUAUGAUGGUGGUCCCAACCCCUGCAGCAUGACAAGGCCAACGCAUUAGUUAUUUGAAGAAACGUGAAUGCAGAAGGUACAAAAAUAUUAAAUGCACUUACGUACCUCUCCCCAUCAGGGAAGAUCAACCACCUCUGCUCGCGGGUCGCCGGCACGGACGGGAGCCGUGUAGCACCACGCUGGUAGACGGUGCCACCCUCCUCCUCAAGAUCAGUCGGCUCCCCGCCAUCAUCAGCAU
rnacentral:lncRNA from 1 species